rnacentral:lncRNA from 9 species
CUGGAGAAGAGAAUGUACCUAGGCGUCUAUUUAUUUUUAUUUUGGACACAGCUCCCUGGUGGGAACUUCUGAAGAACUUUGCGUUCCGGUUCUAGCUGGGCUGCCUUGCUUUUCUCCUUUUAAUACGCUCUCUCGUCAAUCGUGGGGAGGGUUGAACUGCGGGACUUUGCGGAAGGAGAUGCGAAAGCACAAAGUAGUGUGCAUCCUGCUGGGAGGUGGACAUGGGAACCUCCAACCCCCCCCCCCCGGAGGGGGGCGGGGCUGGACGUGAGGCCGCGCGGUUUAUUUAUUUACUAUGCUUUUCCACUCGUGACUACCCUGCCUGGCCCUGGGGGAGAGAGCUGGGGAUUGCCUUGGAAAGCUGAUCUUGGCCUUGCUCUUCAGACUCCCACACAGGCGUUUUUAACUGGACCUGAAAGAUGCUGCGUCCCUGUGCAAAUUGGUUCUGUGUGCUCGGGGUGCUCCAUGAGCUCGUCAACAUCUGCCCAAAGCAUCACAGUUAACAGAGGAGAAGCCCCAGCAAGCCAGAGGGGCUGGUACCCCCGUCCAUCACUGCAUCCCACACCCAGGGGAGACCUGGGAAAGAAGGCGGACCCCCAGCAACCAGGGAGGGAGAAGAUUCCAGAAGAAGGGGGCAGAGGAAGUAGAAAGCUGCCCUGACUCCUGUAAAUAUUUGCUCUCCUUGAACCACGUCGGUUCUCAAGUGUUUCCUCCAACAUCUGAUCUGUCAGAUCACACGCUCGUGUAUGCAUCUGAUUUUCAGCUUCUCCUUUUCAACGAAGCCUGAAGGCGGUGGACCUCCCCUGCUAGGGACACAACUUAGUGAGCACUGGACAGCGCACAUGUGCACAAACUCUUUUCCUUCAUGAGCUGUCAGCAGUUCCCCUAAAUGAAUCAUCAAACCGGUCUGAAAUUCUUUAGUACAGAGGACUUUUUGUAAUCCUCUGGAGACUGUGGGUGUGUGUCUUUUGCCCUAAGUACAUGCACACACACACGUACACCCUCUUACGCUCUCACACAUACAACACAGGCUCACAUCUUUUCCUUUCGGGCUGUCAUUUGCGCGUGGAUCUGAAGAUACUUUUGUCGUGACAAUGAAGAAUCACGUUAAGCUUCAAUCAGAUCCCGUUUCUCUUUUACAGGACUGCCUUUGCCCCUGUGAGGAGGACCUCAGCUGGGACUCGUGUGGGGGUGCACUGCGGUGGUGAACGGAGCGCCUUCCUGUGGGGGUUGCUGCCACUCAGAAAUACAGAAAUAACAGAGCAGGCGUGGGGUCAUUUUGUUGGCAAGCAAGCCCUGGGUCCCAGCUCUGCAGCACCCCCGUCCCUCCCGAGGCUGGGCUGAUGGACUUCAUGGCUGUGCUUGCUGACUCUGCCCGCCACCCCCUUGUUUGCGAAAGUCCGGCUUGAAUGCCCCACGUGUGAGUCAUCGCCAAACGUCUUACAUCACUCAGCUUCCUUUGAACUUCUGUUCAUUUAUUAGCCGCCCCCCCCCCCCUUUCUUGAACUUGUUGUGUGUAAGCGUAUUGCCUGUUUCUGAAUGUUUUCAUCCUGAGAUACCAGACUGCUGUGGGGUGUUGUUCCUAUAUCCAUUAAAAUGCCAUGAUGGGGGGUAACGCAGUGGAGAAGGACCAAGAGUCCCAAACUCCAGGGAAGACUCUGGCAGAAACGUACCCAGCCUGUAAUUUCAGUCUGUUUUAUGUCCCUCUCCUCAUUUGCUUAAGACCCAAUGCUUGUGUGACGUAGAGACCUUACAUGUCUCCUUCACUGAGAUGAAGGGUUCCCUGCAUGCCUGCAGGGAACGUCAGGGUUAUUAAGAGAACGAGAGGAAGAAUGACAAGGAAAUGACAUUGUGUCUAGGUGUGUUUCUCUAAAUCCACUGAAAACAGUAUUCUCUGAACCUGUUCCCUCUUCCCACUUGCUGAGCGUGAGAGCAGGGGCUGUAUUUACAAGUCCUGCGAGUGGCGCUGUCCAGCUUCUUCGUCCGGCCCAAGUGGGUGGACUGCAGGCUGGUGGGGCUGGACCAUGUGGCCAAGUGCCAGCACCAUCACCUGUAGUCUUGUUUGCUGAUUAGACUGUCACAGAGCGUCCGGGACACCCCAGAUGAAGGCUGCGUUCUUGGUUCUUGGGUGAGCAGGAGCCUCGCAGGGGAUGAAGUGUGUGCAGUGUUGAAUGACUGCCCCCAAGUGUCCUUCUGCGGGAGAGGAGUGCAAGAAGGCAGCCUGCUGCUGCCUCCCCUGGGAGAGGGCCUCUGUGGGUGGGGAGCGUGCAGAGAAGACCCGGGAGAAGGAUGCUGUGUUGUGAGAGCUCAGUGGGAGCUUGACCAUUGGAGGACCGCUUUGGAAAAGCAAGGAGCCCUGGCCAUGCUUCUAGAACACAGCCAGGUGUCAAAAGUCUGCUCUCCCUUGUCAGACAAGCAUUGUCACUCACCCUCUGGGGUCAAGCAGCCUCUUGGUGGAGGUGAUGCCUGUAAGGCAGGCAGCUGUGCCUUGAGGGACAAACUGCUGUCCUGUGCUAGUACCCUCCUGGCCCACUGCUCCCCUUUUUUGUGAAUUUCACAAAGGUGCCCUUCCAGGACUCACUCCUUUGGUGCCCCCAGCUGGGCACCUGGCCCAGAUGAGCAAAUCCCAGGCUGGGUCCGGACUCCUUUUCCCCGUGACUAGGCAGAAAUCGGACCUGCAGAUAAUUUGCACACUGUCAUCUUCCACCCAAGUUGGCAAAGGAUGGAAUCCUCAAAACUGGAGAGUGGUCUGAAUUUUUUAUCCCAGUGCUUGGAGCUCUUAGCUGGUCCUCUCGCCUCUAUCCUCCUCCUCCGUCUUGGCCCGCUCAGACCAGCUCUGCUCAUUUUCUACAUUUUUCUUCCAAAUCCUCUUUUCCUAAGUUCCAGGUUUAUUUCAACUUUUAUAAUUUUAAUUCUCAGGAGCCGGUCGUAAUCUUUGAUUAUUCUUUUUUAUGCCAACUCUUCUCGAUUUAUGGAUAUACUGUUUUCUGUUCUUUCUCUAAAGACAUUAACGACAAUUUUUUUGAGGUUGUGUUUUGUUUGCGGUCUUGUCUCUGUUUUCUCUCAUGUGCUACAGGAAGAGUAGCAGCAACUCAUCAUAUGAUUAUCUGCCCCUUUUUUGGCUUUUUAGGGCUGGACUCACGGCAAAUGGAGAUUCCUAGGCCAGGGGUUGAAUCAGAGCUGUAGCUGCCAGCCUACACCACAGCCACAGCAACACCAGAUCCGAGCCAUGUCUGCGACCUAUACCACAGCUCACAGCAACGCCAGAUCCUUAACCCACUGAGCAAGGGCAGGGAUCGAACCUGCGUCCUCGUGGAUGCUAGUCAGAUUAGUUUCUGCUGAGCCACAACGGGAACUCCAUGAGUAUCUGCUUUUUAAAAGUAACUUAUUGUGCUGAAAUCCACAUGCCAUAGAAUUAACCACUUUAAAGUGAAUAGUUUGGUGGCAUUUAGUAAAGUCACGAUGUUGUACAAUCAUGAUUUCUUAGUCCCAAAACAUCCUUGUCACCCUCCCCCAAAGGAAACCCCAUACCCAUUAAGCAGUGACUCCCAUUCUCCCCAGCUCCUGGCAAAGAACAACCUGAGUUCUGUCUCAAUAGAUUUAUCUAUUCUGGCCAUUUUGUAUGGCUGGAGUUGUACGUGACCUUUUGUGUCUGCCUUCUUCCAUUUAGCAUAAUGUUUUGAAGAUCCAUUCAGCUAGCAUAAUGUUUAUAACAUGUGUUAUACUUAAUUCCUGUAAAUGGUGAAUAAUAUACCAUUGUAUGUAUUUACCAUAAUUU